CCUACGGGGGGCUGCAGUAAGGAAUAUUGGUCAAUGGACGAAAGUCUGAACCAGCCAUGCCGCGUGAAGGAUGAAGGUCCUCUGGAUUGUAAACUUCUUUUAUCUGGGACGAAAAAAGGGAAUUCUUUCCCACUUGACGGUACCAGAGGAAUAAGCACCGGCUAACUCCGUGCCAGCAGCCGCGGUAAUACGGAGGGUGCAAGCGUUAUCCGGAUUCACUGGGUUUAAAGGGUGCGUAGGUGGGCAGUUAAGUCAGUGGUGAAAUCUCCGGGCUUAACCCGGAAACUGCCAUUGAUACUAUCUGUCUUGAAUACUCUGGAGGUAAGCGGAAUAUGUCAUGUAGCGGUGAAAUGCUUAGAUAUGACAUAGAACACCAAUUGCGAAGGCAGCUUACUACGGAGUCAUUGACACUGAGGCACGAAAGCGUGGGGAUCAAACAGGAUUAGAUACCCCAGUAGUC
rnacentral:rRNA from 1 species